rnacentral:misc_RNA from 1 species
UGAAAAAUUAAAAAAAAAAAAACAGCAAUGCUUGGUUGUGAGCAGCAGCUCACUAGGGUCUUCAACCACAAGCGCCCAUGUGAAUUUGAGUCUGCUAGGAGCUUGCUCAUUUUUAGCUCACUGUGCAUGAACAACCUGCCAUAUGCCGAGCAUACAUAUCAGUCAGUAUGCAAACAACUGCAUGCAGUGAGCACACACUGCUUAGAAUGCAACAUGCUUGAAAAACCAGAGAUAUAGCAAGCUUGCAUUGGGAAAAAUUAAUAUAUAUAUAUAUAUGGACAGCUGCAUGUUGCAAUCUGGGCACGAACCGCAGGCACCAGCUUGCUAUGCAUGCAAGGUGUGUGCUUACAAAGGGGUUGGCCAAAUAGCCAUAUGUUGACAAUUGUCCAUGCAGCCUCAUGCAAGCUGCGAACUCACACAUGGUCCACGUGAGCGCUGGCUCACUUUUUGCAUGUGAGAAGCUUAACCUGUAAGUGCAGGUGACCAUUAGACCCUGCAACUUAAAUUUGCAAGUUGCAAGCAAAGGCUUAGGGGUAGCAUUGGUUAGUUUGGUUUGGACUAGAAAACUGAAUAAACCCAACCUAUUAGAAACUCAUACCAUACAAAAUAAGAGUUAAAACCAAACUGGAUUGAACAUAACCAAUUUGGUUCGGUUCAUCAACGUUAUGUUGACAAAAUGAACAUGGAAUUCUUUCCUCUGGAGGAUAUUAAGCAUGAAACCUAGAAAUUCCAUGUUGAGAAUGCUAUUGAAAGAAAACAUAAGACAAAUCCACUUCUAUUGAAUUUAUUACAGAUUCCUUUUUGUUUUCUUUGAGAAUCCAAAUUCGUUAGGAUUAAGAUUAGUUUUUACAAUCCAAUGUUUUCAUGUCUGGGAUUAUUUUUAGUCUAUAAAUACUCAUGCUAGCAAUGCUUUAUUCAGUUUUUCAGUUGACAAAAUUCUAGCAACUAUGGUUCUUUUUUUUCAUCUUUAGUUACAUGAUGCAAUUUGAACCUAGAUGAGAUGCUGAAAAAAUUUUAGAUGUGAAGCCUAAACUUCCAUUUUACUGUUCAUGGCUACUAUUCACCAUGCCUGAUCUGUGUUGCAAACAAUCCCAGAUUCUUCUACGUUAUCGUUUUAUUUUGCUUAUUAAAUCUAUCUCUUACAGGCCCUACUUUUCCAACUGGAUUUCUAUUUAUUCAAGCUUUCACAUAAAUCCAAAAUCUAACUUGAAUGAUCAAAUUCCUGCAAGUUGUCCUACUUCUUGUAGGCCCAGGAAAGGAAAAUGUUCCAAAAUAAUUUUGAAAUGAUUUUCAAUGUAUUCGUGUUUGGAUAUUGAUUAGUUAGUUUAUAUCAUCAAUUUUUUUUUUUUCGUUUGAUCAUGUCAACUCCUGUGCUUGGAUCCACUUGU